ACGAGGGGGGCAAAUGUUGUUCGGAAUCACUGGGCGUAAAGGGAGCGUAGGCGGUUUUUUAAGUUAGGUGUUUAAUCCCGGGGCCCAACCCCGGACAGGCACCUAAAACUGGAAAACUUGAAUAGUGGAGAGGACGGCGGAAUUGGGGGUGUAGCGGUGGAAUGCGUAGAGAUCCCCAAGAACACCAGUUGCGAAGGCGGCCGUCUGGACACAUAUUGACGCUGAGGCUCGAAAGCAUGGGGAGCAAACAGGA
rnacentral:rRNA from 1 species